CCUACGGGUGGCAGCAGUGGGGAAUAUUGGGCAAUGGGCGCAAGCCUGAUGCAGCAACGCCGCGUGAAGGAAGAAGGCUUUCGGGUUGUAAACUUCUUUCGUCAGGGACGAAGCAAGCGACGGUACCUGACGAAUAAGCGACGGCUAACUACGUGCCAGCAGCCGCGGUAAUACGGAGGGGGCAAGCGUUAUGCGGAUUUAGUGGGUGUAAAGGGGGUGUAGGCGGGAAUGCAAGUCAGAUGUGAAAACUAUGGGCUCAACCCAUGGCCUGCAUUUGAAACUGUAUUUCUUGAGUGCUGGAGAGGCAAUCGGAAUUCCGUGUGUAGCGGUGAAAUGCGUAGAUAUAAGGAGGAACACCAGUGGCGAAGGCGGAUUGCUGGACAGUAACUGACGCUGAGGCGCGAAAGCGUGGGGAGCAAACAGGAUUAGAUACCCGGGUAGUC
rnacentral:rRNA from 1 species